ACAAAUUCUGAAUAUUUCUAAAUUACUUUUAUAACUUUUAUUAUUAUUUUGUUAGGAUGUAACAUACGUAUGACAACUGAUUUGUUACUGGUUUAUUAAAAAUUUGGUUUCAUUUUGGAUAAAAUUUCAAUAAUAUACUGUAGCAGAAUGUGGAUACUACCAUGAAUUGACUAUGGUUUAUGUUUUGAUAUGUGAUAUAACUAAAAUUUUAGUUAUUCUAAAGAUUCCCAUUUUUUUCCUGAUGACUAAAUAUGCUUGCCAAAAAUUGCAUGCAUGUUGAAGUGUGAGGAUAUUUAAUAACGUUACUAGCAAAGAUGAG
rnacentral:lncRNA from 1 species